GCUCCCACUCUGAGCACACUGCCUAUGGCUUAGCCCUGCUCUGCAAAGAGCAGUACCUCUACUACUGCUGUACCCUGCUGCUGCAAUAAAUUUGCUGUCUAACACCACUACUGGCUCACCCUUGAAUUUUUUCCUGGGCAAAGCCAAGAACUCUCACAGCCUAUGCCUCAAUUUUGGGGCUCAUUUUUCCUGUAUCACUGGGACCAUACUUUGAAAACCAUUAUACUACCCUAUACAAAUUAGUGGCAAACUAGAGAAUGCAUGAUGAAAUCAUUUAUUUAAAAUCAUUUAAAUUCAUCCAAUUAAAAUUAUUCAUAUUCACAUCUAAUAAGUCAAAGGAGGAAGGAAAGGGGAAGAUGGCAUGUCUUCAGAAUAAAUAUGUUCUGCUUGCUUCAGCAAACCGGAAUGAACCGAGUCAAUAAUGGAAGAAUUUGUUGUAAUAUAUUUGUGUUUCUUUGUGUCCAAGAGUGUUAUUCACACAUGAAGCUCAAGAUGGUCCCUGAUGAUAUGUCACAGAGAUUCCUAAGGUACUCUUUUGUAAAGAAUGACUAGACAGAAAAUACUUCCUUAGUUCUGUAACAAGCAAUGAUUCCUGGAGUGGGAAAUGUUCUUGUGGGACCAGAGCUCAGUUGCAGCCUUUGCAGACUAAUGCUCCUGAUAUUAACAAGAGGUCUUGUGUUAACCCAACGAUCUAACUCCAGCCUGGUGAACCUGAUCUUUGGAACUAUUAGGGGGGAAGAUAAAAAGCCAGUUUGCCUGCAGUUUUCAAUUGGAUGCAGUGCCUUCCAUUUCCCACCCUACAUUUUUGCAGAGCUGUGACACUGUACUUCAGAGAAGAGCUACAAAUCUACAUCCACAUGCUGGCAGAAAUCCAGAAGGAUGCACACUCAGUCAUGACAGCAUCUACGAGACCAGGAUGGUGGGCUUCUGAUUAAAGGAUUCUUUCACCUUGUGUGCAGGGCUGGAGUUUCAAAGAAUAUAAUCAUAUACUAUUCAGGUGAUUAUAAACAAGAGUGGUUUUUGUAUAUUUAUGUUCAUAUAUUUAUAUUUUUGCAUUGCAAGAUACCUGUCUCUAUGAGUUAACUUUUACUGCACAAUAAACUACCCCAAAACUUACUCAAAACAAUAUUUAUUAGUUCUCAUGAUUCAGAGGUUUGAUUGGAUAAACCUGAGAGAUGGAAAAAUGGAGGAUGAGGGAGGUUUUAACUUCAUUACAUAGGAACAUACUUUAAAAAAAAUCAACAUAUAUCACUUUGGCAAAUUAUAUUGCUUUAUAAAGUAAACAGAGAAAAAUAUUCCUCUGCCAUAUCUGAGAGUUUUCCGACCUUGACUUCAUUCCCUGCAUCCACAUACAUACAUCUACCCUCCCCAGUCACUGAAUCUUCAUGCCCUUGUCCUUAUUAAACAAGUAUCUUCCCACAGUGAGACACUGCAGAGUGCCCACCUCCCUCUAGAAACUUCACCUUUGCAGUCACUCUAGCAUCUGCCAGCACAUAUGCACAGAUACCAUGGAAACAGGCAUAACUACCUGUCUAGGAAUAAACCAUCUUAGCCAUCAGAGAUCAGAUGAAACCUGAGACCAGAGACUCAUUUUCCUCUAAAAUGCUUUCUCCAAAAGAUUUUAACAAAGAAAAGGGGAGAAAUGUGAAAGGAAAAUAAACAUUGAGGUUCCAAAAUCACUAAGCUAAAGGGAAAAGUCAAGCUGGGAACGGCUCAGGGCAAACCUGCCUAACAUUCUAUUCAAAGUCAUCCGUGCAUAUCUGAUUGCCUCCUUUGGAGAGGUUAAUCAGAAGGUAAAAGAAUGCACCCAUUUGGCUCUUAUCUAGUCUUAUCUACCUUUGACCUGGAAGCCCCUUCCCUGCUUCCCAAAAAAGUUGUCCCAGCUUUGCUUUGAGUUGUCUUGCCUUUCCGGACCAAACCAAUGUUCAUCUUACAUAUGUUGAUUGAUAUCUCAUGAGUCCUCAA
rnacentral:lncRNA from 1 species